GACGAACGCUGGCGGCGUGCCUAAUACCUGCAAGUCGAGCGGACGGAUGGGAGCUUGCUCCCAGACCGUCAGCGGCGGACGGGUGAGUAACACGUGGGCAACCUGCCUGUAAGACUGGGAUAACUCCGGGAAACCGGGGCUAAUACCGGAUAACUCUUUCCCUCACAUGAGGGAAAGCUGAAAGAUGGCAUCUCGCUAUCACUUACAGAUGGGCCCGCGGCGCAUUAGCUAGUUGGUGAGGUAACGGCUCACCAAGGCGACGAUGCGUAGCCGACCUGAGAGGGUGAUCGGCCACACUGGGACUGAGACACGGCCCAGACUCCUACGGGAGGCAGCAGUAGGGAAUCUUCCGCAAUGGACGAAAGUCUGACGGAGCAACGCCGCGUGAGUGAUGAAGGUUUUCGGAUCGUAAAACUCUGUUGUCAGGGAAGAACAAGUACCGGAGUAACUGCCGGUACCUUGACGGUACCUGACCAGAAAGCCACGGCUAACUACGUG
rnacentral:rRNA from 1 species